AGACACUUUAUUUACAAGCAGCAGAGAUUGUAAUGCACUGGAUAUGUGACCUUCUCCCCUAACUUGCAUAUAUUAUAUAUAAGAAUGAAUAUUUAAAGACACAACAUCAGUCUAAUUAUUUUUAUUAUAAGAAGUUUCACAUCAACCAAUACAUCCUCCAGGCUCCAUGGUAAAUCUCUACCAGAGGCUAAUAGCCUACAAUUCCCAGAAUGAUCUAAAUGCAAUAGGUGGCCAGAGAGUCCUGGGAGUUGACUCAUGAGAUGCCUGGACUACACAGACACAGACUGGAAUACACAAACAACCCUUUACUUUACAAGGACUUGAAGGAGUUUUCACUAAACCAGUAAUUGGCAAUUUUGACCUGUAAUUUGAAAUACAUUGUUUAGUGAAUAAUUUAUCAACAGCCAUUAUUAUCUAACCAGUUUUCUUGGAAUAAUUCUCCAAGUUCACAGUGUUUUCAGUCUGGCUUAUUCCAGCCCAAAAUCUCAAACUGACCUUGAGUAAACUUCAGUAAUAGUCCUGAUACAGUCUGCUGAAUGGAUAGCAUAAUUGGUUUAAAUUGGUAAGUCAGAUAGAAUAAACUCCAGAUCUGGUUUCCUGAACGCUAGAUUUUAAAAUCUGCUUGCUUACUAUAUCGUACAGUUACAUGUGUAUAAUUAAUCUCAGCAGCCAUGAGAUGAUAACAACUUGAAGGCUUCUACAUUAAAAUAAAGAGAAUAGCAAAGGUGCAAGGAAAAUACAACACAUUUUCAAAUAUAACUAUUUGAGGUUAAAAUAAGCAGCUCCUGCUUUAGUAACCCUACGGCCACUAUUGCACAUUUUCAGCCUAAAUUCCCGAGCUGGACACAUUCAUAAUUUUUUUCCAAUUUGGCUAUUGCAGGGUGGAUACCAAAAAAAAAAAAAAAAAAGUGGCAGAGCUUAUCACAGAAUAGUUUCAGGAUAAAGAAAGGGGGGUAACCCCUGAAUUAAUACUUGAAAAACAGAGGAGAUAAUCCUGAAACCAAAGAGUUACCCUAUUAAAUUAAAACUUAACUUUUAAUAGUAUUUUAAAACAAAAUAAUAAAAUGGAAACAGAACAGAUGGUUGCGGCCAGAAAAAAACCAAAGUGUCACACUGCCAAACUUUUUCGCUUCGAUUAGAAUAGAGUACCCUGAUGUAUCUGCUAUCUUAUAACAAUUUAUCAAAAGUAACAUCAGGUGCUCCAUAAUACUUGCAAAAGAAUAAUAAGCGCUCUCUUCUCAGGGAUGAGCUGCAGUUCACCAACAAGGUGUUCCUCUACCUUGUGAUAAAUGGACAGAUAAA